rnacentral:snRNA from 1 species
GUACCCACUUCGGGAGCACGUAUACUAAAACUGGAACGGCGCAGAGAGGUUUAGCAUGGCCCCUUGCACAAGGACCACCCACGCACACAUGAAGCAUUCCAUACGUUG